rnacentral:rRNA from 1 species
AAAACGACUCUCGGCAACGGAUAUCUCGGCUCUCGCAUCGAUGAAGAACGUAGCGAACUGCGAUACAUGGUGUGAAUUGCAGAAUCCCGUGAACCAUUGAGUCUUUGAACGCAAGUUGCGCCCGAAGCCAUCAGGCCGAGGGCACGUCUGCCUGGGCGUCACGC